CACCCUCCGCACUGAUCUUUUGGCUAAAAUAAAUACAAGGUCAAAAAGAAGAUAACAAGAAAAACGUUGAGAAAUACUUUUAAAAAAAAAAGCGUACACGAAGUGUAAUUGUAGCAUUUAAUUUGAAUCAGUCAUAUAAUUUAAUUUGUUAUUGAUCCUAAUCUAGACCAAUAUCAAUAAGUCAUUGUGAUUAGAAAUAUUUUUACCAAAUUUCAUGCUUUUAGCUUAAAUCAAUAUGCAAUGAUCCAAUCAAAUAUCUGGACUAGUUGGGCCAAAGGGGAGGGGGUUAAAGAAAGAAAGGGAGAUCUGGGUGAAGUUUACAGCAAUCGCUUUUUAAAAGCAUUUAUUAAAAAAGGGGGAAACAACCUGAAUUCAAACUCAUGCUUCAAGCCGACAUAUUAGCCAGUCUGCUAGUGAGGCGCUUAUGAAAAUAGAAUAUUGUAUAUGUAUCUAUUUUUUGAGAUAACAAACAAAACAAUAAAUACCAAUAGUUAAUAAACUAAUUGGUUGUUUUUUUUUUAAAUUGAUUCUUGUGCUGUCAGAUAAAAGAAAGAAUGGUGCAAAAUGUCAGCUUGCUUCGAGAUCGGGUGUCGGAGAAAUAACGUGUAUUUUUUUUUCCAGAUAUACAUAUAGAGUGAGUUGGUAUAAGUUUUGUAAACAUUACUUCAAAACAUAGAUAUUUAGACCUAAGUAAAAUGUUAUUCUUAAAAGUAAAAGACACAUACUCUUGAGGCUCGUUUGAAUUAAGUAAUACAGAAAUUAGUAAUUUGUUACUCUGGAAAUAGUGUUUGCAUAAAGUUAAGUUGUUGUUUUUUUUAGUUAAAAAAUAUUUUGUAAAUAUAUUCAAUAAGCAUUGCCGAGGAAGCCCUAUAACUUCUUAUAAGUAGAAGCAUAUUGACAGUAGCCCUAGUGUACUUUAAGUGUAAACUAUAAUAAGUUAGUUAACAUCUUCUUAAUAGGCAGUUUCUUUAGUUGAAUCAUGUACAUAUUUGAAAAUAAAAAGUGUUGUACAACAAUUAUUAAAAUCUUUUUUUUUUAGUUCUAAAAAUACCGCUUUGUAUUCUCCUUUUAAAACAUACCGUGUGAACUACUAGGUUAACAGUUAAUAAAGGUGUCAUGCUGUCAACACAACGACCCAUCGCGACAUAUGAUGCAAUAAGAUUAUGUUAGUGAGUGCUUAUAAUUAAUAGUGAGAAGCUAAUGUUAAAAAGAGUAAAAAAAAAAAAGAUUAGCACAGUUAAUGUUUCAAUUAGUUUGAUUUACGCACCGGUUCUACUGUAGUUUCAGGGAC